rnacentral:rRNA from 1 species
AGUCGAACGUGAAAGCUCUUCGGAGUGAGUAGAGUGGCGGACGGGUGAGUAACGCGUANGAAUCUACCUAGUAGUGGGGGACAACAUGUGGAAACGCAUGCUAAUACCGCAUACGCCCUAUGGGGGAAAGUAUGGGAUCUUCNGACCAUACNCUAUUANAUGAGCCUGCGUAAGAUUANCUAGUUGGUGAGGUAAAGGCUCACCAAGGCGACNAUCUUUANCUGGUCUGANAGGAUGAUCAGCCACACUGGGACUGANACACGGCCCAGACUCCUACGGGAGGCNGCAGUGGGGAAUAUUGCGCAAUGGGGGAAACCCUGACNCAGCCNUACCGCGUGUGUGAANAANGCCUUAGGGUUGUAAAGCACUUUCNGCGAGGAGGAAAGGUUGUACGUUAAUAGCGUGCAGCUGUGACGUUACUCNCNGAAGAAGCACCGGCUAAUUCNNUGNCNGCANCCGCGGUAAUACUGAAGGUGCAAGCGUUAAUCGGAAUUACUGGGCGUAAAGCGC